rnacentral:rRNA from 1 species
AUACGGAGGAUGCAAGCGUUAUCCGGAUUUAUUGGGUUUAAAGGGUGCGUAGGCGGUUUGCUAAGCGGGAGGUGAAAUGCCGGCGCUCAACGUCGGAAGUGCCUCCCGAACUGGUGGACUGGAACGACUCUGCCGUGGGAGGAAUGUGUAGUGUAGCGGUGAAAUGCUUAGAGAUUACACAGAACACCGAUUGCGAAGGCAUCUCACGAAGGGUUGAUUGACGCUGAGGCACGAAAGCGUGGGGAUCAAACAGGAUUAGAUACCCUGGUAGUCCACGCAGUAAACGAUGAUGGCUAACCGCUGGUUUAUUCGGAUCAGUGGCCAAGCGAAAGCGAUAAGCCAUCCACCUGGGGAGUACGACCGCAAGGUUGAAACUCAAAUGAAUUGACGGGG